rnacentral:rRNA from 1 species
GGGGAGUGGCAGACGGGUGAGUAACGCGUGGGAAUCUACCCAGAUCUUCGGAACAACUGAGGGAAACUUCAGCUAAUACCGGAUACGCCCUACGGGGGAAAGAUUUAUCGGUUCUGGAUGAGCCCGCGUUGGAUUAGCUAGUUGGUGAGGUAACGGCUCACCAAGGCGACGAUCCAUAGCUGGUCUGAGAGGAUGAUCAGCCACACUGGGACUGAGACACGGCCCAGACUCCUACGGGAGGCAGCAGUGGGGAAUAUUGGACAAUGGGCGAAAGCCUGAUCCAGCCAUGCCGCGUGAGUGAUGAAGGCCUUAGGGUUGUAAAGCUCUUUCAGUAGGGAAGAUAAUGACGGUACCUACAGAAGAAGCCCCGGCUAACUUCGUGCCAGCAGCCGCGGUAAUACGAAGGGGGCUAGCGUUGUUCGGAUUUACUGGGCGUAAAGCGCACGUAGGCGGAUCGUUAAGUCGGGGGUGAAAUCCUGGAGCUCAACUCCAGAACUGCCUUCGAUA